rnacentral:rRNA from 1 species
GACGAACGCUGGCGGCGUGCCUAAUACAUGCAAGUUGAGCGCUGAAGGUUGGUACUUGUACCAACUGGAUGAGCAGCGAACGGGUGAGUAACGCGUGGGGAAUCUGCCUUUGAGCGGGGGACAACAUUUGGAAACGAAUGCUAAUACCGCAUAAAAACUUUAAACACAAGUUUUAAGUUUGAAAGAUGCAAUUGCAUCACUCAAAGAUGAUCCCGCGUUGUAUUAGCUAGUUGGUGAGGUAAAGGCUCACCAAGGCGAUGAUACAUAGCCGACCUGAGAGGGUGAGCGGCCACAUUGGGACUGAGACACGGCCCAAACUCCUACGGGAGGCAGCAGUAGGGAAUCUUCGGCAAUGGACGAAAGUCUGACCGAGCAACGCCGCGUGAGUGAAGAAGGUUUUCGGAUCGUAAAACUCUGUUGGUAGAGAAGAACGUUGGUGAGAGUGGAAAGCUCAUCAAGUGACGGUAACUACCCAGAAAGGGACGACUAACUACGUG